GGGGCUGUAGCUCAACUGGGAGAGCGCCAGAAUGGCAUUCUGGAGGUCGUGGGUUCGAGCCCCAUCAGCUCCACCA
rnacentral:tRNA from 1 species